rnacentral:rRNA from 1 species
AUUGAACGCUGGCGGCAGGCUUAACACAUGCAAGUCGAGCGGUAACAGAGGAAAGCUUGCUUUCCCUGCUGACGAGCGGCGGACGGGUGAGUAAUGCUUGGGGAGCUGCCUGAUAGCGGGGGACAACCACUGGAAACGGUGGCUAAUACCGCAUAAUGUCUACGGACCAAAGCAGGGGAUCUUUCGGGACCUUGCGCUAUCAGAUGCACCCAAGUGAGAUUAGCUAGUUGGUAAGGUAAAGGCUUACCAAGGCGACGAUCUUUAGCUGGUUUGAGAGGAUGAUCAGCCACAUUGGGACUGAGACACGGCCCAGAUUCCUACGGGAGGCAGCAGUGGGGAAUAUUGCACAAUGGGGGAAACCCUGAUGCAGCCAUGCCGCGUGUGUGAAGAAGGCCUUCGGGUUGUAAAGCACUUUCAGUUGUGAGGAAAGGGUAAUCGCUAAUAUCGGUUAUCUGUGACGUUAGCAACAGAAGAAGCACCGGCUAACUCCGUGC